GGAAUAGGAAGUGGCCAGGCUCUUCAUAAACUGGCUUUGGUAAAGGGAGCUCAACGGCUUAAAAUGAAAGCAAACGCAUUUUGGGCAGCAGAAGGCGGGCAUUACUGUUAGUGAGUCCUGAUUGGUUGGCGAGCCGAGCAGCUCAUUGGCUGUUCGCGCCAACAGACGUCAUGGACGUACAUGAGAUUUUUGGACGACUGAAAUACUGGGGCUCAGACGCUGCACAACUGAGCCGAAUGGACCUCGCGCGAACUGCUCGCUGCUGUUUCUCUGCUGUUUGUCUGCUGUUUGCAUGGACACAGUAAAGAAGUAACAGCUGCCCGUCCUGUGCGACCAUAUGCUGUUGCUUCUUCUACCUUGAUCGGGUGCCCACUGCUUGCCAGCCUUCUGGAUCUGUUUGACCACCAUGGAGCUUCUCGCUGUACAGCGCUAUGCAGACUUCACCAACAUGAACUAACCUUUGUGAUGAUACUGCUGCUACUGCUCCUGUUGCCGCUGCACAGACUCAAACUAUGUAACUAUAACUUCACCUGCUUCACCUGUUUUUCCCCACAUUCGUAUUUUAUUAUACUAAUGCUAUUUGCCAUCUGGUGUCGACCAGAGGAGAAUGGGUUCCCCUUUUUAGUCUUGGUUUCUCUCAAGGUUUCUUCCUCUUGCUCUUAGGGAGAUUUUCCUUGCCACUGUCACCAUUGCGUUGCUUAUGGGGGCUUGGACCCAGAUAUUUCGGUAAAUCUGCUUUGUGACUACACCUGUUGUAAAAAGCGUUAUAUAAAUAAACUUUGGCUUUGACACUGACUUA